rnacentral:rRNA from 1 species
UACGUAGGGGGCAAGCGUUGUCCGGAAUCAUUGGGCGUAAAGCGCGUGUAGGCGGCCAGAUAAGUCCGCUGUGAAAUCUCGAGGCUCAACUUCGAGCUGUCGGUGGAGACUGUCUGGCUAGAGUCCGGAAGAGGAGAGUGGAAUUCCUGGUGUAGCGGUGAAAUGCGCAGAUAUCAGGAGAACACCCGUGGCGAAGGCGGCUCUCUGGGACGGUACUGACGCUGAGACGCGAAAGCGUGGGGAGCGAACAGG